rnacentral:ncRNA from 14 species
ACUUAUGUGGCGGAAUAGGUAGACGCGUGGGACUUAAAAUCUCAUUCCUACGGAGUGCCGGUUCGACCCCGGUCAUAAGUA